CUUCAUAUGAAUUGAACUGUCCAACAGAGAGAGUUACAAAUAAUUUGGUAAACAAGGGUCGCAAAACAAAAUCUCUGUUUGGCAGAAUUCAUAAUGUCAGAUUCAACAGACAACUGGGCAUGUGUUUGGAUUCCAAAUCUUUCAAUCCAUAUAUCAAAAGAAAGAUCUACGAGUCUAGUUUCCAAUGAAAUCAGUUUUGAACAAAUCAGAGUUUCCAACAAAGACUUAUAGGCAGCUCGGUAUCAAAAGGUCAAAAUCUCAGAAGGUACAUAGAUUCUAAUCAUUACAUCUAAACAGGAGAUAUAUCAAAUGCAAAGCUAGAACAAUUUAAAGUUGCUCAUAUUUAAUGCAAAUGUAGAGAUAAAAUUGCAGUAGGGAAAGAUCAGGACACUUGCAAUAGGAAAGAUUAGAAAGCUUACAAUAGGAAGGAUCGGAACACUUGCAAUAGAAAAGAUUAGAAAGCUUGCAAUAGAAAGGAUCGGAACACUUGCAAUAGAAAGGAUCAAAACAUUUGCAAUAGAAAGGAUCGAAACACUUGCCUUUCAAAGAUUUUGAUCUGAAGAUCCAAAGAAGGUGUCAGCCCAAAUCCUUCUACUUUUCCUCCGUGUCCUCUCCCUGUUUUGUUUUCUACAUAUGUCUUCUCUUUUUCCUCCACAACUGCAGCUCAUGCAGAACAUAGAGGCAUAGUCACCUGCUCUCUCUUACUCUCAUUCCUUUGUUUUCAUUUUCAAACACAGUUGUCGCAACCUUCGCCACUGCCACUACCAUAGUCGUAGCCACGACCGCAGCUGUUAUCACAACCGUAGCCCCUUCCAUUGCACUAUUUCCAUCCUCCCUUCUCUCGUUCCUACUUUUUCUUUCCCAAACACAACUGCCACAAACGCAGACGCCACCACCGCAGCCGCAAUCAUGGCCACAUCCCCCUUUUUUUUUCCCUUUCCUUUCUUUCUAUUUCGUAAAAGCAGCUGCUGUAGCCACCACCGCUGUCGCAUCCAACGUCGUAGCCGCAGCCGCAGCCGCAGUCGCAGCCACCACAGUCGCAGCCUCUUCUUCCUCCCCUGCUCUGUUUCCUCUCCUUCUCUUCCAGCUGCAGCUGCCACUACCGCAGCUGCCUCCCCUUCUCCUCUUCCUCUCUUCUUCCCUUUUCCUUUCUCUUCUCCUUCCUUUCCUUCUCUUCUUUCCCAGCUGCACUACUGCAGUCGCAGCCUUGGCCGUAGCCUCUUCUUCCUCCCUUGCUCAUCUUCCUCUCCUUCUUAUCUUCCAACUGCAGCUGCCAUCGCCGUAGCCGCAGCCCCUUCCUCCCCUUCUCUUCUUCCUCUCUUUCCCUUCUUCCUUCCUCUCCCUCUUUCCCUGCCACAGCUGCAGUUGCCACAGUCGCAGCCGCUGCUACUUCUUUCCCUUCUCCUCUUCCUUCUCCUUCCUUUCUUCUUCUUCUCUUGUUCUCCUUCCUCCCCUUCUUCUCCCCGACACACAGCACCUCCUCUCCUCUGUUUCCUCCUGCAGAAAACAGAGGUGCCGCCACUUCACCCGCAUCUACUUCUUCUCUUCCUCUUAUUCUUCUUCUCCUUCUUCUUCUNNNNNNNNNNNNNNNNNNNNGCCCAUGCCGCAGCCAUCCUUCUUUCUUCUUCUUCUUCUUCUUCUUCUUCUUCUCCUCUUCUUCCCUUCUUCUCCUCGAUGCCCCACACAAGAACUCCUCUGUUUCCUCCUACACGAAACAGAGGUGCUGCAGCCCUACCUGCUGCAACUAUCUCUCUUUCCUCUCCCUCUUCCCUCUCUUCUUCUUCUUUUCUUCUCUUCUCCCUCUUCUUCCUCUCUUCUUUUCGCUCUUCUUCUUCUUUUCUUCUCCCCACGCCCCACCACUCCUCUCUCUAUUUCUCGAGAAAUAGAGAGCGUGGUAGGCGGUGGGAUAAAACCGAAAUUUUUGGUUUUCUCUUUUUUCUUUUGUAACUUAACAGUUUAGUCCUUGAAAUUUCUAUAUUUACAUAUAGGUCCUCCAAUUUAUAAAUAAAUCUUUAUUAAUAAUUUUUAAAAGUGAGGGAUAUUACACUUACCAAGAAGAUCGUCGUAAAGUCUAGGAGCUUAUUGGGAGUCCGUCGGAGCAUUGCCGAGAGUUCAUCGGAUAUUCACCGGAAGAUCGUCGGAAGAGCAAUUGACGCACCGGAAUAAGAAGUGUUAUGAUCAUGUCUUAAAUAUCGUAGUUAAAGCGUAAAUUAACUGAUGAUUGGGAGAUAAUCCCACUAACUUAAUUAGGGGCCAACUAGGCCCUUAACAAGGUUGAAUUGGGCCGAAUUGAGUAGCCUAUUCAGCCCCUGAAUUUCUGACUAGUGGUGGCACCGCUUGAAAAGCAAUGCCCCAGGAUUUCUGGGCGGUGGUACCACCGACAGUUAUUGUUGCCAGCAGUGGUACCGCCCAGUGUCAGGUGUCAGACGUGUUGAAUCUCGGAUUUUGAUGAUGAAACUAAUUGAUUGUGUUUAGAUGUUUAAAAGCAUUUUUAGUGAUGCAGGUCUACUCGAUCAGGAUUAGACAGUUAAUGCAGAAGGAAUUGACAUUGCGCCGGAGGAGAUCACAUUAGGAUAUUGGAUGGUAGAAGGCUUCGGACGUCGGGCAUCGGGCCAAGAGCGGAAUUGCGCCAAGGAUAUCGGGGUUGCGGAGGUCAAUUGCCGAUUGGGCAACAAGCCGCAAGAGAGGACGAUGCGCCGAAGAAUCGGACGAAGCACCAACCAAUGACAUGUCGGGCAACAGAAUGUCAAUUCGCUUUGUAAUAAUUGUCUAGAUCGGAGUAGAAUUUUGGCUUGUGUGUGCAGGAUUAACUACGAUAACGAUGAAGACAUAAAGCGAAAUAAAGUAUCGGAGACAAGCGCGAAGGAUUUGUUGCGAGUUCGAGAGUUCGAUGGAAGUCCGAAGGUUCAUCGGGAAUGCUGCCGGAACUAGCCGAGAAUCAGUAGGGAGCUUGCCAAAGGGUUUUUCGGAAGCUCGCCAGAAGGUUCGUUGGAAGUUCACGGAGCUCACCGAGAAAGAUCGGAGCUUGCCAAAGAAGCUCGUUGGAACUCGCUAAGAUCAAAUCGUGAAGUCUAGGAGCUUGCCGGGAGUCCGCAGAAUGGUUUCCGAGAGUUUAUCGGAAGACCGUCGGAAGUUCGUCGGAAGCUCGCCGGAAGAAGUCUUGACUUACGGACUUUGUAAUAGCUUAGAAAAUGUCUUUAAAUUCGUAGUUAGCAUGUUAAUUAGGGUUAGGAUUAGGUGUUAAUCCUAUAACCCAAGUAGGGGCCAAUUGGGCCCGAGUUCGGACUGGUUUUGGCCAAGUUUGGAGCCCAACCAGUGAGCUGAAUUGGCCUAGGCGGUGGCACCGCCUAGACUGGGCAGUGGCACCGCCCAGCACUGUCAAUAUCUGACAGUGACAGGCGGUGGCACUGCCAUUGACAGGCGGUGGCACCGCCAGCAUCGGGAACAUAAGAGAAUUCAAAUUUUUGGAGCCCAAAUUUGAAUCCUCUUGAGGCCUAUAAAUACCCCUGAAGUCUCAGCUGAGAAUACAAGUUUUUGAGCAGCAAUUGUUUGAGAGAAAGGUCUUAGAAAAGUCUUUGCUAGUCUUGUUUUCAAUUUGCUAGUGUUCACCUCCUUCUUUCUUGCUGAAAAUCUGUAAGAGAGUGAACCGCUUGUAAAAAGUUGUAAGAGGGGUAUUUGCCCUUCCAUUUCAAGAGAUUUGCUAGUGGAAGGUGGGAGCCUCAUCGAAGAGGGGCCUCGCAAGUGGAUGUAGGUCAUUUGACCGAACCACUGUAAAAUCGGCGUGAUCUCUGGUUUGCAUUUACUUAUUGUCAUUUACAUUACUGCAAACCAUUUGCACUUUAAUGCUCUACUUCUUUGUCUUCGUCUUACUUAUCUCUUCAAGUUAAAACGCAAUCGAAACAGUUUCAAACGAAAACGUUACUUUUAUCGUACGAAGUUUUCGAAAGUUUUUAAAUCGUCAAAAGUUUAUCACACUUUACCGCUGCACUAAUUCACCCCCCCCUCUUAGUGCCGCUCCGAUCCUAACAAGGUGAUGGUACCACCCAAUAAUGGCGGUGGUACCGCUAGGACCUCGGAAAUCCAAGAUUAGACACUUUUUGGCUCCAUUUUUGAAGCCAUUGGGGCCUAUAAAAACCCUACCUUUCAAGAAAGGUGUGAGACUUGUAAGGGUUCUCUACUAAACCCGUGAAAAGGAGAAAGAGCUGCAAAAGGCGGUUGGUCUUCACCUAUUGAAGGAAGGCCUUUAGUAGAUGUCGGAGAUCUCGUCGGAGGAAUCUGAAAGUGGAUGUAGGUCACAUUGACCGAACCAUUCUAAAUUCUGGUUUGUUUUUUAUUUAUGCAAUUUACAUUACUACAAAUCUCCUUAAUCCUCUCUUGCACUUUUACGAGAACUUUCAAGUUCAUACUCUCUCCGAAAUGGAUUGAAUUGAAACCACUUUAAUCGAAAUCAGUUUUAAUUGACAUGAAUAUUUUUCUAAAAUCGAAAAUAUUUUUCACUGCACUAAUUCACCCCCCCCUCUUAGUGCCGCUCUUGAUCCUAAUAGGAAUUGGGCCAACUCAAUUAGGGGCCAAUUGGGCCCAAGUUUAGGCUAUGUUGGGCCAAGUGAAAAGGCUCAAAUAGUGACCCAAUAGGUGAAACCGUCGUGGCAUAGUCUCCGAGACUGUGUUAGGCGGUGGUACCGCCUAGACAUAGUCUUCGAGAGACUGUCAGGCAGUGGUACCGCCAGACUGGGCGGUGGUACCACCCAGUGUCAGGCGGCAGGUGGUGGUACCGCCCAAUGUAGGCGGUGGUACCGCUUUGUCAUGGACAAACUUCUAAACAAGAUGUUUGAUGUAAUGCUUAUUUAUGUCCGUGUCUUUUAGCAUGUUCAUGCCUUGUACAGCAUGUAGAGGGACGACCGAAGGCUUAAUAGUCUCAUUUUAGUUAGGUUGGUGGCCUCUUUAGGCUUGUAAAUAAAGGUCGUGUCAUGUGGACACGUGUGAGAGAUUUUUGGUCUAUAAUGGACCAUUUUACCCUUUGUUGUGCAACUAUUCAGAGCUUGUAAAGUCUGUUUGUAAUUUGCAUUGUCUAUGAAGUGUUUUUCGGAGAUGUUUGCUUGUGGAUCCCGAUUGAGAUGUUCUCUCUAACCCGUUCUCUCUUUUGUUGGUCCUAAGGGACAAUGGGAGGCUUCGGGGAGCCUAAUCUUUGCGGACGGACACGCAAGGGUGCCGCACGACUUAGGCAAAACCAGCUAAGUCCGUGACAGAUGGUAUCAAAGUGGGACAAGCACUCAUAGAAACACUUAGCAUGCAAACAUGGGGGACCUAGCGGGGCUACAUUGAGGGCAGUCAACACACGCGCGAUCGUUUGGGGGAAAACAUAUAUGGAGAUGUAGGGAAAAGGAGUCGCUCGGAGGAGCGGGCAUCUGACAUUGGCAUUCAGAGGAAUGGCCAACCCUUCGCGCAAGAGGCACCACGAGAACAGGCAAGCUUGGAAGAAUGCGGAGCGCACAAAGGUUGGGAUGGCUGAGUUUGAGCUAUGGCUCAACGUUGACAACUAUACUUGAAGGUGCUCAAGACAAGCGAGGCGCUUGGUAAAGGAUGAGACCAUGCAAGGUGGAAUGAGUUGCUCAACGACUAAAAGAGUUAUGCAAAGCUCACAGAGGUGAGGGGAAUUGCUAACUCGAAGAAUUUGGUAUUCAUGCAUGGGCUUGUAUAUGGACGAUGGAAUGUUCGUGGCCAUCCCAAGGCGACCGAAACUCGGUGCCAUGGAGCAUUGAAACUUUCUCUUCGGCAUGUGAAGGAUACGUCCGUAGGAGGCUGAAGUGUGCAACGAGUUCAGCAUGUUGCUAGGCCUUGAGUGGUGCGACGGGGGCUGUAUUGACGUGGUGUCGCAAUCUAGCAAGUGCGUUUGUAGGAGGCAGAAAAAUGCAUAGUUUGUUCAACAGAUCAGAGAAGUCCAAGGGGAUGGUGGUCUCCGUAAUGAAGAGAGAUGUUGCUCCAACAGGACAGUUAUCCUGGAGGGAUAAGUCUCAGCUCUCAAGAGGGAGAAUCAUGUGGGACAGACCUCACAUGUUGAGGAGGAGUACCUCAACAAACAACAACUCCAUGAAACUCAAUGGACUAAGCAAGCGGCGAGGAGUCGUUGCAUGAUCUUGCUCGACAGAAUGCAUUGGUGGAUGCAUUGCGAGAUCAAGUGGGGGAGCGACCCAAAAGCAACCCAAAUAAAGGCACACUUGGAGUUGAUAUGGAGAUCAGACUCAAGGGAGGGCCGACCCAUGGAAUGGUGGGCGCGAGGGCCACCAUUGACUCAAUGCAAAAUCGAGGAGCGGAGCAACUUGGGUGUAACUUGGCAAAGUACCCAAGCCGCAUGAAGGGAGCCAGCAUAGAAGUUGGAACAUGGAGCGGAGGCACAGUGCUUUCCUUAGACAGAGGUCGAUUUCAUGAACUCUUGCAGAGGCAAGAGUAGAAUCAUGUUGUUCCAUGGGUCCUUCAUUCUGACGGAGUGGACUCAUCUUGCAUGGUGCUAAAGACGAAAGGAGCUUCUAGGCACAUGCAUCUUAUCUCAAAGAAGCAUUUGAUGGAGGAACUAAGGCAACUCAAUUUGUGGAGACGAAAUUGGGUUCAGAAGGCCUUAGCACGGGGCAAGAGGACUCAGAGGUGGGUACUCUUGAAGAAUAUGCCACAGUGUUGCCAUUCAAGUUGCCAUGAAGGAAGCGGUGUGCAGCGGAGAUUGUGUUGGUAGGGGCAGAGGCCCAGGAUCCAGACAAUGGUGCACAAAUUACAAUGAAGUCGAUGGACUUCGGGAGCUACUGGGCGACAGACUAUCCUAGAGCGGUGCUUCAUCUAGAUGUGACCCAAGACUAGGUGGAUGAAGGUAGAUUGCCAAAGGAGCGAACAAAAUCGAAGGUGGAAGAGACCCUGCGAUGUAUUGGCAGAGGCCACACAUGGAGGGUUCACAAUUCGAGUUCAUCCCACAAGGAUCAGAAUGCAAUAGAGAUGUCACCAGGAGGCGACAUGGUGUAGCAGAUCAUGGUGGAACAGUUCGUGGCAAAUGCGAUACACACGAUCUAGUCCCGUGAGGGACUAGAUCAUAUGGAGGUAUGAUCGGGAGCUAUUGGAAGCUCCACUUCGGUGAACAACACGACGGCAAGAAGGGCUAUGGAUUCAAGGAGUGAAGGCCAUGGUACCCCAGAGGUGGGUCUUCCGUGCGUGCAUCGAAUUUUGCAUCGGAUGAAAACCUUGGUCAUCAGCAUAUGGGGGCUGGGUUCCACUAAGAGAAAAGUUCUAAUGCAAGUACCAGUGAGUCCCAUGGGAGGGACUUGAUCAUACAGAGGUAUGAUCAAAGCAGUUGGAGAGUUGGACUACUCUAGAGCUCAUAUUCGCUUAAGGGAGCCCGGCAAGUCAGAGGAUAAGGUCGAGUAAGCGAACGUUGCUACCAAGGAAGCUAAGGAGAAUAGAAUUGGUGCAAACCCUACAACGUGAUGGCAGAGGCCAUGCAUGGGAGUUGCAGUCUGUCUUUCCAUCGACCAGAGGGAACUGCUUGGAGAACAUAGAGGUGUUGAAGCAAGGGGUCGAAAGGGGCGAGGAAGCGACGAUGAGUCCAGAGAGACUUAGCUACCCAAAAUCAAGCAUCAGUUAGAAUGGAGGUGGACUCAAAGGAGUGCCACAAAGACAUAUCUACUAAUCGUAAAGAAAAGGGAUGCAUAUGCGAGGCAACGGAUAGUAGGGCCAUAGGCAUGGUACCGCCAUGGUACCGCAGAGGCGGGACUUCCAUGAAAGUCAAUGAUCCCUUGCUCUCAUGGAGGGAGAGCGCUUGGUCGUGAAAGGGGCCGAGGAGGUGGAACAUGCAGAGGCAAUCUCCAAGUACCAUGACAAGGCUGAAGGGCAGAGGCCAAGAAACUUCGUAAGACCGGUGUGAACAAGUUUCUCAUCAAGAUAGCCGAAAGUGAAGGACUUCAGGUCAUGCAAGAGUGCACGACCAAGGAACGAAGCAGGCAGUACGUGGUACUAUACCUUCGCUACUCAGGGGAGUAGGCGGCAAGGUUGAUGGAGAAGACUGUACAAUACCAGAGGCGACCUCAUCUAUUAGAGAAUUACUCCAAGUUGGGGUGAAAACUUCCUGCAUUCCAGAAGUUCGAUGGCAUUGAGAAGGUGAAUCACAGUAGCUAACUCAACGCAAGGAGUGCAAACACUUCAAGUGCUUCAGAAGUGUGAGCAAAGAGCAGGCGAAGGCUAGUAACCAACUCGAUGCAUGGAGUACAACCUCGAGGAGGCGGGCGAAGUCAAGUAACCUUUGCCUUCUCAACUCUUAAGAGAAUGGGCAAAACUGAGUACCCCAAUUCUCUUAUCUAUCCAGCAAAGGAGCUCUGCAUAUGUUCAAAGACCCUUCGAAGAUAAUGGAAGACAAUAGUUGUCAAAUCCUCACCAAUGGUGAUCAGUGUUACUGAGAAUAGAUUGUCCGCAUUUCCCAACGAAAUGCCAAUCGAAAGCGGAAGUGAUGCGAACCUACUUGGAUGUGACAACUAAGUGAAAGAAGAGUCAAUGAGCAAAUUUUGUGGAGGAAGGACCCAAAACUUCAGAAGUUUGUGAGACGAUGCUCGUUAAAAGCUCUAACAAGCAUCCACCCAGUUCAAAGAGCAUGAGGCAUUUGAGAGACUGGCGCAGUAAGGAUGGUCUUUUCCUUCAUUUGGAAGAUCCGCAGGAAUCAACAAGGAUCAGCACAACUCAACCAACCCCACACAAGAGUCAAAGUCAUUGGUGAGUUGAAGCAGCAUGGCGGAUCAAAGGUUCGACUACUCAAAAACAACAACGGAGAGCAGUUGGGAGCCAAGAAGCGCAUUGUAGCUGGAGCAGAAGAUUGAAGACUCAGCAAAGGCGAGGAGUUGCAGUGUCGACAAAGGCUUCAACGAGGACGUCGAAGGAAUAAGUGGGGGAGAAUGUCUUGGACAAACUUCUAAACAAGAUGUUUGAUGUAAUGCUUAAGUAUGUCCAUGUUUUUUGGCAUGUUCAUGCCUUGUACAAUAUAUAGAGGGAUGACCGAAGGCUUAAUAGUCCCAUUUUAGUUAGGUUGGUGGCCUCUUUAGGCUUGUAAAUAAAUGUUGUGUCAUGUGGACACGUGUGAGAGAUUUUUGGUCUAUAAUGGACCAUUUUACCCUUUGUUGUACAACUAUUCAGAGCUUGUAAAGUCUGUUUGUAAUUUGCAUUGUCUAUGAAGUGUUUUUUGGAGAUGUUUGCUUGUGGAUCCCGAUUGAGACGUUCUCUCUAACCCGUUCUCUCUUUUGUUGGUCCUAAGGGACAAUGGGAGGCUUCGGGGAGGCUGACCUUUGCGGACGGACACGCAAGGGUGCCGCACGACUUAGGCAAAACCAGUUAAGUCCGUGACAGCUCGUACCUCGAAAUAUCGGGGAUUUGAAUUUUGGCUCCAAGUUUUUAAGUCAUUUGGGGUCUAUAAAUACCCCAACUAUUCCUGCAUGGAGUAGCAAUAAAGUUGAGCAAAAAUAUGUGAUUAUAAAGUUGUAAACCCUAUUAGAAGGUCGAGUUCCCUCCUCCUAAAACUUAGAGAGAAUUCUAAGGGAGGUGUGUGAGGGAUACCUUGCAAAAGAGGGUUGUAAAAGGUUGUCUCCUAAACCUCUGAAAAGGAGUAGUGGGGUGUAAAAGGGUAGUUGAUCUUUGCCCGUCGAAAGAAGAUCGUUAGUGGAUAUCGGUGGCCUCGACGGAAAGGGAAUCGGUGGAGUGGAUGUAGGUCAUGACGACCGAACCACUGUAAAAAUUGGAUUUGCAUUUCUUUUGUGCAAUUUACCUUUACUACAAACUACUUUACUUUCACUAUGCUUACAAAUGAUAUUUGAAGUUAUCUUUCUGAUAUUGGUUUUAUCAAACGAAGAAUUUUUUAAACCGGUGAUUUUAUCCGCUGAACUAAUUCACACCCCCCCCCCUCUUAGUGCCGACUCAAUCCGAACACCUAUGUGGUCGGGUAGGAGCCAGCCCAUAUGACAAGGUACGACUCAACCCAUGAGGUCAGACAUGACGCAACCCAUGUGGCUAGGUACGAUCCAAUCCAUAUGGCCAUGUGUGACCUAGCCCAUGUGGUAAGGUACGACCUAACCAUGUGGCCAAGUAUGGGCCAGCUUAUGUGGCUAGGCACAAUCCAGUCCAUGUAGCCAUGUAUGACCCAACCUAUAUGGUAAGGUAUGACCCAACCAUGUGGCCAAGCAUUGGCCAGCUCAUGCGGCUAGAUACGACCCAAUCUAUGUGGUCAGAUACAACCCCAACUCGUGUCUAGGAAUGACCAACUAGCUAGCCAAGCAUGGCCUAAUUUAAUGGUAAGGCUCAGCCCAACUUAUAAGUGAGUCUUAGCCUAGUCUAUGAAGUUAAGCCUACCUGCGCCAAGUUAACAAACUACCAAGCCUACCCAGUUAUGCGAUUGGCAUUAAACAUAUCGUCGCUACUUUUAUAUAGUCCGUUGUACCUCAACUUAGCCUAUUACUUGGAACAUGCGUAUAUGACCCGUCCAAGACUUAAGUGGGUUGGUUCGGUUUGGAUUAGCACUAUAUGACAUAGUCCAAUUUCCUCUCUCUCUAUUGGUUUGAGCUCGUUAAUUGACUAAAUGAGACAGGUUUGAUCGGUUAAAACCAGUUUAAGGUGAUUCUAGACUAACUUAACUAGUUCAAACCUAUUUGACCUAAUCGAGAUCAAUUAAAUCUAAAUUAGAUCAGUUUAGGGUGAUUCCAGACCGGUUCUAUAAAGAUUUGAUGUUAGUUCUGUUAAAUUAUAAUCAAAUUGAGUUUGGUUUAAGUUAAUUGAGCUAUUCCAAUUAGGGUUUUGGUUGAUUGAGGACUAUUGAGAUAUUGAUAUUUCAUGCAUUUAUGAUUUGAUGAAUUUAAAGGUUUUAUCUGAAGAUAUCAUUUGAAAAUGAUUAUUGAUUUUCUGCUUUCUUAAGUUUAUGAUAUUGAUAUGAUUAUUAUCAUGUAGUAGAUAUAAAUAGGUUAGUAGUUCACAUUGGAAGUGCAACCUGUGAAAGGAGCUGCAAAGCCACCAAUGAACAUAGUCUAGCAUAUUUACAUCAAGUGCGAUCUCUCAUAAUAUUUAAUCAUAUUGAUUUCUUGAUGCAUGCAUGAGUGAAUGAAUGAGUGUAAAUAAAUGAUCAUGGACGUUUAUAUAUCCUUGCCGAGGGUAGGUAUCAUGAUUCCCUUCGAGGAUUAACGGGUCGUCAAACGUGAUGGUUAAACGGUUCUUCCAUCCGUUGUUGGGAGGAACGUAUCCCCACUUGGUCAGGUGAAGGAUAUCACUCUAUCUAUUGUUGGGAGUGCGAUAUAGAUUAUCUCCAUCUCGUGGAAUAUGCCUCUUCAUCCGCUGUUGGGAGAGUGCAUUAUCAAGUGUGAUGCAUGCCUUUGUUAUCUAGUUAUUAUGUAUGUGUUGUAUGUGGCUGAUGCAUGAUUUUGUUUAUUAUAUAAAAAAUUAUUAUCAUUUUUCUGAUACAUAAGUUUUAUGAUGAAUUGAUAUAUUAUCAUUUCUUAUUGAAUUAUUGAUAUUUAUUUAUAUUACAUGAAUAUUGAAGAUUAUUUUUAUGAUUUUUUCGAAGUUCCUACCAAUAUGUGUGGUUGCUGAUAUAUUUUUAUCUUAUAUUUAUUUUCAGAGUAAUCUACUACUUUGUAAUAGAUCUGAAGCUUAGGUGGAAGAGACUUAUGACCCUACCAAGAAUAUGUCAUCCUUUUUCUAGUUAAUAGAACAUUUACUAUUAUAAAAACUAUUGAAUCUCGGAUUUUGAUGAUGUAACCAAUCAAUACGUGUUUAUGUUUUAAUCUGCGUUUUGAGUGAAGCAGGAUGUUUUGAUCAAGAUGAGAUAAUUAAAGCAGGAAAAAUCAUGUUGGACCGGAGGAACAUGUCAGAAGAUUAGAUGUCGGGUCAGUGGAUCGGUUGACGUAUCGAUAGAAGGCUUUGGGCCGUGUAUUCGGGUAUCGGGCCAAGAAGAGCGGACAUUGUGCCAAGGAUAUCGGAGUUGCGGAGUCAACUGGUCGAUUGGGCAAUAGGCCACAGGAGAGGACGAUGCACCGAAGAAUCGAAUGAAGCGUCGAGAGACCAAUGACAUGCCGGACAACUUGAUUAAUGUUUAGUAUUAAUUGUCUAGAUCGAAGUUUGUUUUACUUGUGCAGGAUUAACUACGAUAGAAAGGCAUGAAGCAAACUGAAGUCCAAACGUAAUCACGUUGGGAGUUCGAGAGUUUAUCGGAAGUUCGAAUGUUCGUCGGAAGUUCUAGAGGAAUCAACCGAGAAGUCUCGUAGCUUGCCAGAGAAGCUCGUCGGAACUCGCCAAGAAGAUCGUCGUGAAGUCCAAGAGCUUGCCAGGAGUCCAUUAGAACAUUGCCGAGAGAUAAUCGGAAGUUCACCGGAAGAUUGUCGGAAGCUCGCCGAAAGAAUAGACUUACGGACUUUGUUUAGCUUAGAAUAUGUCUUAGGAAUCGUAGUUAGCAUGUAAUUGGGCUUGGAUUAGGCCAACCCAAUUACGGGCCAGCUAGGCCCAUUUAAGAAUUGUGUUGGGCCCAAUAAGAAGCCCAAACAGCGCCCCAAGGAGUCUCACCAUCAUGGCACAGUCUUCGAAACUGUGUCAGGUAAUGGUACCGCUAGUCUGGGCGGUUGUACCACUCUUGGCACGGUGCCAAGCGAUGGUACCGCCAGUUUAGGCAAUGGUACCGCCCAGCACUGCCCCCCAAGCAAUGGUACCGCCAGACCUGGGCGGUUGUACCGCCCCGGGCAGUGUUAGCCAGGCUGACAUUGGGCAGUGGUACCACCCAAUGCAGGCGAUGGUACCAUCCGUGCCCGGGGAACCUGGGAUGAGAUGUUUUUAGGCUCCAAGUUUGAAUCAACUUGAAGCCUAUAAAUACCCCUCUCAUCCCUAGUUAAAGCACACAAGCACAAAGAGCAAAAAAGGAAAGAAACAUUAUAGAAAUCAUUUUAGAAAUUCUCUCCUCCACUCUAAGUUUAGAAUUCUAUAAGAGGAGUGUGAGUGCUUGUAAGGGUUAUCUCCUAAACCCUUGAAAAGGAGAAGAGGGGUGUAAGAAGGAGUUGAUAUUCGGCUAUUGAAGGAAGACCUCUAGUGGACGUCGGUGACCUCGUCGGAGGAGGAAGCAAAAAGUGGAUGUAGGUCAAGAUUGACCGAACCACUCUAAAUCUCAGUUUGCAUUUACAUUCUGCUCUUUAUCUUAACUGCAAACUGCCUCCGUUGCUUUACAUCAUCUAUACUUCCAUUUACUCUCAAGUUAAAAAACUUUCCAAAAUGGUUUUCGUACGAAGUCUUUUUGAACCUGUUAGGAUCGGAGCGGCACUAAGAGGGGGGGGUGAAUUAGUGCAGCAGAUUAAAACUUUAGUUUUGGACAAAUCUUUCGAUACGAUAAAAAUCGAACUCGGAAGUGCUUAACUUGAAAGCGUAUUCGUAAAGUUGUGCAGCAAAGGUAAUGAGGAAAUAAAGCACGUAAGAAGGUUUACAGUAAUGUAAAUAGUAAUAAUGAAAUGCAAACCAGAGAUCACGUUGAUUUUAAAGUGGUUCGGUCAAAUGACCUACAUCCACUAGCGAGGCCCUCUUCGAUGAGGCUCCCACCUUCCACUAGCAAAUCUCUUGAAGGGGAAGGGCAAAUACCCCUUUUAUAACUUUUUACAAGUGGUUCAUUCUCUUACAGAUUUUCAGCAAGAAAGAAGGAGGUGAACACUAGCAAAUUGAAAACGAGACUUGCUAAGACUUUUCUAAGACCUUUCUCUUAAUCGAUUGCUUCUCAAAAAGUUGUAAUCUCAGUUGAGAUUUGAGGGGUAUUUAUAGGCCUCAAGAGGAUUUAAAUUUGGGCUCCAAAAUUUGAAUUCUCUUUGGUUCCCGAUGCUGGUGGUGCCACCGCCUGUCAGUGUCUGACACUCAAAGUCCGCAAUUCAAGACUUCUUCCAACGAGCUUCCGGCGAACUUUCGGCGGUCUUCCGAUAAACUCUCAAAAACCAUUCUGCGGACUCCCGGCAAGCUCUUAGACUUCACGAUUUGAUCUUGGCGAGUUCCAAUGAGAUUCUUCGGCAAGCUCCGAUCUUUCUCGGUGAGCUCCGCGAACUUCCAACGAACCUUCCGGCGAGCUUCCGAAAAACCCUUCGGCAAGCUCCCUACUCAUUCUCGGCUAGUUCCAACAGCAUUCCCAACGAACUUUCGGACUUCCGUCGAACUCUCGAACUCACAACAAAUCCUUCGCACUUGACUCUGAUACUUUGUUUCGCUUUAUGUCUUCAUCGUUAUCAUAGUUAAUCCUGCAAACAUGAGCCAAAACUCUACUCCGAUCUAGACAAAAAUUACAACGUGAAUUGACAUUCUAUUGCCCGGCACGUCAUUGGUUGGCGCUUCGUCCGAUUCUUUAGUGCAUCGUCCUCUCUUUUGGCUUGUUACCCACUUGGCGGUUGACCUCCGCAACCCCGAUAUCCUUGGUGCAAUUCUGCUCUUGGCCCGAUGCCCGACGUCCGAAGCCUUCUGCCAUCCAAUAUCCUAACGUGAUCUCCUCCGGCGCAACGUCAAUUCCUCCUGCGUUAACUGUCUAAUCCUGAUCGAGUAGACCUACAUCACUCAAAAUGCAGUUAAACAUCUAAACACAAUCAAUUAGUUUCAUCAUCAAAAUCCGAGAUUCAACAAUCUCGCCCUUUUUGAUGAUGACAACUAAUUGAUGACUAACGGAGUUAACCUUAACUCCCCGGAGUUUAACCAAACUCCCCCUAUCAAUAUGCCAUUGAUAGAACACUUGGAUUAUCCCAAAUCCAAGUAACAUUCAUCAUAUGUUAUGAAAAACAUUUAAACCAUCAUGCAAAUAUAUAUAAAAUAUUCAAUUCAAUGCAUGAAGUCAUCAAUAUACUUCUCCCCCUUUGUCAUCAAUAAAAAGGAGAAGUUCCUACUCUUAUGUGUUUAGAGAUUUAAAGUUUCAUACAUUGCAUGAAAAACAUAGUAUCAAAUUUUAUCGUCAUGCAAUCUAGCAAUUAAAGAUGUGUAAGUUUAGCAUGUUUACUUUUUUGAGAUAACAACUAAUUGCUUCUCUUUAGACUACAAGCUAGCAAAUUUUUGCUUCUUUUGCAAUGUUUGAGCUAGCAAUUUUGCUUCCGUAACAAGUUAGCAUGUUUUGUCUUUUGAGAUAGGCAAGAUAGCACAUUUGCCUUUUUUUGAGAUAGCAACUCUUUUGAGAUAGUGAUUUUAGCAAAUUUUACAUCAUGCAAGGUAGCAAAUUUUUGUGAUGUUCAAUAUAGUAAGUUAUUUCUUCUCUUUUGAGAAGUGCUAUUUUCGCUUCCUUUACAAAGUGCAAGCUAGCAAAGUGUUUGAAAAAGUGAUAAAAUUUUGCAACAUACAAGCUAGCAAAAAUUUCGAAAGCAAAUACAAGAUAGCUUUCUUGUUGAAGUGUGUAAGCUAUUGAUUCUUGCUUCCUAUUGUAAUGUGUAGGUUGCAAGUCUUGCUUCUUGAGAUAGGCAAGAUAGUGAUGUUCAAGAAGACAACUUUUGCUUCUUGAAAUAAGCAAGUUAGUAAUCUUUGUUACUUAAGAUAGGCAAGCUAGCAAUCAAGUUUUUGCAUCUUCUUGACUUGUGCAAGCUAGCUAUCUCCCCCUUUGUCAUUGUCAAAAAGAAGAGAAGACCCUUUACAUCAAUUAUGACAAAGGUAAGUAUCAAUCUUAUUUGUGCAUCAUCAUAUUUUCAAAUUAGAAUAUGCACAUUUUCAAAAACCUUAUAUUCAUUCAUGCAUGAUAUUGAAUAAAUCGAUGAACAUUAUGAGGAUAUCAUACAUUAUACUAAAAUUUUUAACUAUUUGUCAACAUUUUGAUCAUGAUACCAAACAUUCAUCAUUUAGAGUAUUCAUGAUACAAAACAUUAAAUCAAUAUUUAUAAUACAUCAUUUUAGCAACAACUCAUAGUAUUUUAAAUCAUGAUUUACAUCAUAUGUAAUACAUCACAUCAUAAUUAGAAAGCAUAAGUAUUGCAUACAUCAUUGCAAAUCAUAAAUGUUUCAUAUCAUGAUGGUAUCAAUUUGUCAAAUUAUAUCCUACCAUGCAUGAUCAAAACUUCUCCCCAUUUGUAUUUCAUGCAUAAUUUCACUUCAUCACAUUAGGAGUAUCAAGAGGAAUUAAUUGGGUGCUGAGAUAAAUAUUUCACGAAUACAUGGAAUUGUAAAAAAAAAUCAUAUCAUAAGUGUUUCAAACAUUCAUAUCAUCACAUGAAGGAAUAUAAACAAAAAUUAGUGAUGAGAUAUUACUUCAUGAAUACAAUAAAACUCAUAUAGCAUAUCAUGGUUUAUUAGAAUUAGUCUUCCUUUUGGUGAAUAGCAAAAAGAAUAGUAGGAGAGCAAGAUCUCAAUUCAUGCACAUCAAAUAUUCAAUCGUCAAAAUCAUAAUUCAUCUAGAAAAUUCUCCUCUUUAAAUAUUCAAAGAGAGAAUCAUGAUGAACAUUCUUGGUUUACAUAAAGUUUCAAAACAUAAUUAUCAAGAUCAUGAAUACUAAAAUACUAUGAAACAUUUCGACAAAUCUCCUUUUAAAUAGAAAACAAUCUUGAUUCAUAAAGGAUUUCAUGUUAUAAAUUUCAAGAGAUCAAGAUCGUGAUUUCGAUAAAAAUUUAUUUAAAUUUAAAUCAUCAAAAUCAUUAUCAAAAUCCAAGAGAUUCAUAAAGAUGAUACAAAUGGAUUCAUCAAAAUCAAUAAGAUUGAGCAAAAUAAUUUUCAAGAAUGUUUUCCUCUUUUCGAUUGUUUCAAAACAUAUGAUUUUGUUUCAUUUAUGCCAAAUAAAAAUAUGUAUCAUGUUUAAAAUCGAAUGAGUAAGUUUUAUUUCAACAAAGAUCAAUAAGGUACUUUCAUUAUGGUAAAAAUCAAUAAUCCAUAAAUCGUAAGAUUCAUCAUGCAUAAUCUCGAAAUUUAUUAAGCAUGAUCAAUAUGCAUGACACUAAAACAUGGUUUCAAAAUGUUUAAUAUGUUUAUUACACAAUUUUAUCAUUAUGCAUUAUUAUAUAUAACUUUACAAUGUCAUGCAUAAAAUCGUCAAAUCAUAAUAUUAAAAUAUUAAUAUUUUCAUUACAACUUUAUGCAUCAUUAAGUAUACAAUNNNNNNNNNNNNNNNNNNNNUCAUUUAACAUGAUACAAACAUUUAUUUUCGAAAUAUUUAUCACUAUUUUCAUGUAUGAUACCAUUUUUCAUAUUGAAUAUAUCAUCACAAUAAAAAGUAAUUGCAUACAUAAUUUCAAAUCAUAAAUAUUUCAAAUCAUGAUGGUAUUAACUUGUCAAAUUUCAUCCUACCAUUCAUAAUCAUAACUUUUCAUUUGUAUGCAUCAAAAUAAUAUCAAGAGUAUUUCAUGCAUAAUUUUAUAUCACCACAUAAGGAAUAUCAAGAAGAAAGUAAUUGGGUGAUGCGAUAAACAUUUCAUGAAUACAAAAAAUUGCAUAAAAAUCAUAUCAUGAUAUAUUAGAAUAUGUGAAUACCAAAAGACAUGAUUUCUUUUUGAAAAAAACCUACUCAUAAUUAAUCAAAAGAAAAUCUUAGGAGAUCGAUUAAUGAAAAAAUCUUGAUUCAUAAUAAAUCUUAAUUUGUAAAUAUCACGGAAUCAAGAUCAUGAUUUUGGAGAAAACUCAUUCAAAUUCAAAUCACCAAAAAUCAUUUUUAUGGUUCACAAAAUUCGUAACAUAAGUAGAUUCAUGAUUUCAUCAAUAAUAUAUUUUUUAUUUUUUUUAGGUAUUUCAUUUUAAGUGAUUGAUUUCAUGUUAGCAUGCUUUUUCAUUUAUGUUAAAUAAAAAUAUGCAUCAAUGUUUAGGAUCGAAAAAUGAAUUUCAUCAUAAAACCAUCAAGAUCAAUAGAUUCUCAAAAAUGAAUUAUUAGGAUCAAGAAAAUCCGAAAAUAAAAUUUAACACUUUCAUGCAUUCGGACAUGGUUUUGCUAUAGAUUUUCAAAUUCAAUCAUGAAGUUAAAAAUGCUCAUGAUCAUGGAUAUUUUUGUAUCCAAAACACAUAAUUUCUAACAUGUUAUUAAGGCAUGUAAUAGUGUAAAAUCAUCAAGAUACACAUGCAUGGAUUAAUCCUAAGCACUAUCACAUAUCGUAUAAUUAUCAUCCCUAAUGUUGCAUACAUCGUUCAACAUUUCAAAACAUAACAUGCAUGAAACCUUAGCAAUAUACUUUUCAUGAUCAAAUUUUAAAAUUUUCAAAGAUGCAAAAAAGAAAAACAUGAUAUAAUUUUAAAAAAUAAUUUUUUUAUUUCCUAUUCUAAAUUAAGCACUCAUGAAAGACUUCAAGUAAUUUCAAAAUAAUUCAAGAGAGUUGAGUUACUUACCUUGUAGUCGAAGCCCAUCAAAGCCCAAUUCGCCGUUUCGCCUAUGGAAGUUUUUGAUUCAUCCUUGGUUGCCUUCCUCUUCUUUGGCCUCUUCCUCCGUUCAAGUUCAUUGUUUAUUUUAGAUUUUUGUUUAAUAAACUUAUUAAGAUUUAGUGUUCGAAGUUCAAGUUCAUCAUUGUACUCAUCACUUGAGUCAUCGCUCAAGUGGUAUUCAUUUGUCCGGAGUUCCAAAUCCUUCCUGUUCUUUGGAAGGUGAUUUUGUUCAUCAUGUGCAUUGUGCACCAUUUCAUAUGUCAUCAACGAACCAAUUUGUUCUUCAAGUGGAAAAAUAUUUAAAUCUUUUGUUUCUUGUAUUGCGGUUAUUUUAGGAUCCCACCUUUUUGGAAGGGAUCUUAAGAUCUUGCUUACGAGAUCAAAAUUCGAAAAAGAUUUACCAAGAACUCUUAGAUUAUUGACGACAUCCGUGAAACGGGUAUACAUGUCACCUAUAGUCUCGCUUGGUUGUAUUCGAAAAAGCUCAAAAUCAUGCAAUAAAAUGUUAACUUUCGAGUCUUUGACUCUACUAGUUCCCUCGUGCGUGAUUUCAAGUGUUCGCCAAAUAUCAAAAGCCGUUUCGCACGUUGAAAUCCGAUUGAACUCAUUUUUGUCCAAAGCGCAAAAUAAGGCAUUCAUAGCCUUUGCGUUUAAAGAAAAAUACUUCUUCUCCAAAUCCGACCAUUCGUUCAUCGGUUUAGAGGGAAGUUGAAAACCGUUUUCAAUGAUAUUCCAUAAACCCAAAUUCAUAGAAAUCAAGAAAACUCUCAUUCGAGUUUUCCAAUAAGUGUAGUCCAAUCCGUUAAACAACGGUGGACGAACAACCGAUAAACCCUCUUGAAAGCCAUAAAGAGCCAAUUCUCUCGGGUGUAAAUCUGAAAUGAGAAAUACCGGGCUCUGAUACCAAUUGUUAGGAUCGGAGCGGCACUAAGAGGGGGGGGUGAAUUAGUGCAGCGGAUUAAAACUUCGGUUUUGGACAAAUCUUUCGAUACGAUAAAAAUCGAACUCAAAAGUACUUAACUUGAAAGCGUAUUCGUAAAGUUGUGCAGCAAAGGUAAUGAGGAAAUAAAGCACGUAAGAAGGUUUGCAGUAAUGUAAAUAGCAAUAAUGAAAUGCAAACCAGAGAUCACGCCGAUUUUAAAGUGGUUCGGUCAAAUGACCUACAUCCACUUGUGAGGCCCUCUUCGAUGAGGCUCCCACCUUCCACUAGCAAAUCUCCUGAAGGGGAAGGGCAAAUACCCCUCUUACAACUUUUUACAAGCGGUUCACUCUCUUAUAGAUUUUCAGCAAGAAAGAAGGAGGUGAACACUAGCAAAUUGAAAACAAGACUUGCUAAGACUUUUCUAAGACCUUUCUCUCAAUCAAUUGCUUCUCAAAAAGUUAUAAUCUCAGUUGAGAUUUGAGGGGUUUUUAUAGGCCUCAAGAGGAUUCAAAUUUGGGCUCCAAAAUUUGAAUUCUCUUUGGUUCCCGAUGCUGGCGGUGCCACUGCCUGUCAGUGUUUGACACUGACAGUGGACUGGCGGUGCCAUCGCCCAGCCAAGCAGUGCCACCGCUUGGCUCUCGGGUGCUGGGCAGUGGCAAGCGGUGCCACCGCCUGGCUCUCGGGUGCUGGGCGGUGCCACCGCCCAGCUCUUGGGUGUUGGGCGGUGCCACCGCCUGACUCUCGGGUGCUGGGCGGUGCCACCGCUUGGGUCUCGGGUUCACUGGUUGGGCUUUAAAUUUAGCCCAAACCAAGUCUAAUUUUGGGCCCAAUUGACCCCUAACCAGGAUAUAGGAUUAUCUUUUAAUCCUAAUCUUAAUUAAUGUGCUAACUAUGAAUUUAAAGACAUUUCCUAAGCUAUUACAAAGUCCGCAAGUCAAGACUUCUUCCGGCGAGCUUCCGGCAAACUUUCGGCGGUGUUCCGAUAAACUCUCAAAAACCAUUCUACGGACACUCGGCAAGCUCCUAGACUUCACGAUUUGAUCUUGGCGAGUUCCAACGAGCUUCUUUGGCAAGCUCUGAUCUUUCUCGGCGAGCUCCGCGAACUUCCAUUGAACCUUCUUGUGAGCUUCCGAAAAACCCUUCGGCAAGCUCCCUACUCAUUCUCGGCUAGUUCCGGCAGCAUUCUCGAUGAACCUUUGAACUUCCGUCGAACUCUCGAACUCGCAACAAAUCCUUCGCGCUGGACUCCGACACUUUGUUUCGCUUUAUGUCUUCAUCGUUAUCGUAGUUAAUCCUACACACACAAGCCAAAACUCUACUCCGAUCUAGACAAUUAUUACAACGCGAAUUGACAUUUUGUUGCCCGGCACGUCAUUGGUUGGCGCUUCGUCCGACUCUUCAGUGCAUUAUCCUCUCUUGCGGCUUGUUACCCAAUUGGCGGUUGACCGCCGCAACCCCGAUAUCCUUGGCGCAAUUCCGCUCUUGGCCCGAUGCCUGACGUCCGAAGCCUUCUGCCAUCCAAUAUCCUAACGUGAUCUCCUCCAGCGCAACGUCAAUUCCUCCUGCGUUAACUGUCUAAUCCUGAUCAAGUAGACCUGCAUCACUCAAAAUGCAGUUAAACAUCUAAACACAAUCAAUUAGUUUCAUUAUCAAAAUCCGAGAUUCAACAGAACCGACAAAAGUUUUUCGCUGCACUAAUUCCGCCCCCCCCCUCUCAGUGCUCUUGAUCUUAACAAAAAACAAGGAUUUGAAUUUAAGAAUGAAGGGAGAAAAAGAGUUUAUUAUGUAAAUUAUGGAUAAUAAAAUAUUAAUUUUUUUCUUUUCAUAAUUCUGGGAUGUGACAAGAUGCACUACCGGUAUCCAAUACCCACACAUUAUCAUAACUUUCGGACAAAUAGAGAUCAAUCAUGAAUGUACCUGAAAUUUCUCCAAGCUUCUAUUUCACCUUUUUCUGCAAGGUACUCCUUGUAGUUCCUCUUCCAAUGCUGGGCGAUUGUACUGCCCUUGGCAGGGUGCCAGGCGAUGGUACCGUUAGUCUGGGUGGUGGUACCGCCCAGCACACCAUCCCAAGCGGUGGUACCGCCCAAUGCAGUGUUAGUGUCAGACUAACACUAGCGGUGGUACCGCCCAGCACAGGCGGUGGUACCGCCCAGAUCCAAGAAACCCGGGAUGAGAUGAUUUUAGGCUCCAAGUUUGAAUCAACUUGAGGCCUAUAAAUACCCCUCUCAUCCCUGGUUAAAAAACACAAGCACAAAGAGUUUAAAAGAGAAGAAACGCUGCUGCAAUCUCUUUAGAAAUUCUCUCCUCCACUCUAAGUUUAGAAUUCUAUAAGAGGAGAGUGAGUGCUUUUAAGGGUUAUCUCCUAAACCCGGUAAAAGGAGAAGAGAGGUGUAAGAAGGAGAUUGAUCUUCGCCUAUAAAGAAAGAUCGAUAGUGGAUGUCGGUGGCCUCGACGGAAGAGGAAUCGAUGGAGUGGAUGUAGGUCAUGAUUACCGAACCACUAUAAAUUGGCGUGUUCUCCGGUUUAUAUUUUCUUUGUGCAAUUUACUUUAACUGCAAACCUCUUUACUUGCUUUACAUCACUAUGCUCUUCCGUGCGCUUUAAAGUUAAGUUUCCGAAAUCGGUUUUCAUCGGAAUAGAUUUUAUCGUAUGAAAGUUUUUUAAGACAUUAUUUUACUGUUGUACUAAUUCACCCCCCCUCUUAGUGCCAACCUCUUGAUCCUAACAAUUAGUAUCAGAGCCUCGUUUUCUCAUUUGGUUUAACACCGAAAGAGAAAUGGCUCUUUUCGGCUUUCAAGAGGGUCACUCUCUCAUUUGUCCUCCCUUUUUCAAUAGGACAGACUACACUUAUUAGAAAACUCGAAUUGGAGUUUUCUUGCUUUCAUUGAAUCUCGAUUUAUGGCACAUAGUCGAGUUUGUUUUUCAAAGGUCUUCUCUUCCAAUGAACCAUUGGAAUGAUUUGGAGAAGAAGACUUUUUCUCUAAAUGCAAAGGCUAUGAAUGCCUUAUUUUGCGCCUUAAAUAAAACUGAGUUUAAUCGGGUUUCUAUAUGCGAAACGACUUUUGACAUAUGGCGCACUCUCGAAAUCCACAUGAAGGUUCUAGCAAAGUUAAAGAUUCGAAGAUUAAUUUUUUAGUGUAUGAUUUUGAGCUGUUUCAAAUGAAGCCGAGCAAAACUAUUGUUGACAUGUACACCCACUUUACGGAUGUCGUCAAUAGUUUAAAAGCUCUUCUUGAACUUGUGAAUAAAGUUUUGCGCUCACUUUCUAAAACUUGGGAUUCAAAAGUAACCGCUAUUCAAGAAAAAAAAAAUUUGAACUAUUUCCCUCUCGAAGAACUAAUAGGGUCUUUGAUGACCUAUGAAAUGAUGUGCAAUGCACGUGAAGAACUCAAGAAUAACCUUCCAAAGAACAGGAAGGAUUUUGGACUUAGAACAAUUGAAGACCACUCGAACACAAGCUCAAGUGAUGGUGAACUUAAACUCCUCAUGAAAUUUAAAAAGUUCAUGAAACAACAAUCAAAACAUAAAAACAAACUUAGGAAUAACACAAAAUGGGAUGAAAUAAGUGCAUCCGAAGAUGAGGAGCAAACCGAUGAAGACGAGGUGGCAAACUACGCCUUAACGACUUUUCUCAAUAAGGUAAACAUCUCAAACGAAACUCCUUUAAUUUAUUUCAAAAUUACAUGAUGUUUUCAAUGAGUUAUUUUUAAUUUUGUUUAGAAUAAUUAUUUUUCUUGAGAAUUGCAUGUGUAAUGAAAAUGCAAAAAUAAAAUUGGAUCAUGCUUACCUUUCUAGUGAUUUUAAAAAUAAUCAUAAAAAUUACAUGUUUUAUGAUAAACAAACAAAAUGAUUUUGAUUAAAGAUGCUCUACGAUUAGUGAAAUCAUGUUUGAUUUGAAGUAAUGAUUUGAUAAUAAUGCUUAAUGAGUUUAUCUUUCGAAAUUAUACAUGUGAUUUAUGGAUUAUCGAUUUUUAUUGUAAUGAAAGUUUCUUUUUUGGUUUUAAAAAUGAUGCAUGGCUUUUGUAUGGAAACUAAGCAUGAAAAGUUAGAUUCACCUAAAAAAAAUAUAUAUGACUACAACAAACAAAAUUAACUUGAUUGAAAAUGCUUUAUGAAAUCAUUUUCGAUGAUGCAUAAUGAUGUAAUUAUGUAAUAAAAAUAUUAAAAUUUUUGGUACCAUGCUUGGUGAUUUUCUACUAUGCAUGAGAUUUAAAAAUGAUGCAUGGUGAUUUUUGUGAUUUAUGUCUUAUUGAUCUUUGUCGUAAUAAAUCUUGCACUUUCGGUUUUGAAACGAUAAUGAAUGCUUUUAUUUAGCAAAGGCAUGCUUGUAUGAAAUAAAAAGGGGAAUAUAUUUCUUGAAAAUUUCUCAAUUCCUAUGUUAUGAAUUUUUGAACCAUGAAAUUGAUUUUGAUCUUUCAUUAAUAAAUCCAUGUAUAUUAUGCUUUUGUGAAUCUCAUGGAUUAUGAAAAUAAUUUAAAUUUAAUGGAUUUUAUCGAAAUCAUGAUCUUGAUUUCUCAUUAUAUGUAACUUGAAAUUUUUUUUUAUAAAUCAAGAUUGUCUACUAUGAUUUUUUCUUUUCGCCAUUUUAGUUAUCCAAAAAGAAUCAUAAUAUGUCUCUUGAUAUUCACAAUUUGUCUUUAUGAUUUGUAUAUCUUAUCACCAAAAAUCUCUUGAUAUUUUUUAUGAUGAUAUGAAAUUAUGCAUGAAAUACUCAUGAAUUUAUGUUGAUGCAAACAAAUGAGAAGUUAUGAUCAUGUAUGAUAGGAUGUAAUAUAAUUUGACAUUUAUAUACCAUCAUGAUUUAAAAUGCUAUGAUUUGUUGCCAAAAUGAUGUAUCAUGAAUGCUUAAAUAUCAUGUAUGAUAUACCCAUAGUGAUUGAUUUAUUUGUGUCAUGCAUGAAGUAAAGAUACAAAUGUAAGGUUUUGAAAUUGUGCAUGUUUUCAUUUGAAAAUAUAAUGAUACUUUACCUUUGUCAUGAUUUGAAAAUUGUUGUAAAGAGAAAAAGAGACGCAAAAUAUAUUCUUCCCUUCUUUUUGACAAUGACAAUGGAGUAGAUAGCUAGCUUGCAUAAGUAAAGAAGAAGCAAAAAUUGGCUAGCUUGCAAAUUGCAUUGAGAAAGAAGUGCUAUCUUACUUAUCCCAAGAAGUAAAACAUGCUAACUUGCACAUCUAGCAAAAUUGACAAAUUUACAUAUUUCAAGAAGCAAAAGUUUCCUUCUUGAACAUCUCAAAAUUACUAGCUUGCAUGUUUUAAAAUACUGUAAAAUUAUUGCUAGCUUGCAUAAUGAUAAAAUUGAAAUUAUGUUUAUUAUGCAAUGAUCUAAAUUUGAAUAUCCUAAACACAUGAAGGUUAUACUUCUCCUUUUUGUUGAUAACAAAGGGGGAGAAGUAUGAUCAUGUUAUGCAUGAUGAAGUGUUACAAAUAUUCACGAAGAAUAUUUGCAAGGACUUAAAUUCAGCUUGAAUUCAAGGUUCUAUCAAUAUGACAUAUUGAUAGGGGUAGUUUGUUUAAACUCCGGGAGUUUGUUUUAACUCCAUCAUCAAUUGGUUGUCAUCAUAAAAAAGGGAGAGAUUGUUGAAUCUCAUAUUUUGAUGAUGAAAUCAAUUGAUAAUUAUUUAUGAUUUAAUCUGCAUUUUGAGUAACGCAGGAUGCUUCGAUCAGGAUGAGACAAUUAAAGUAGGAAGAAUCAUGUUGGGCUGGAGGAAAACAUGUCAGAAGAUUGGACGUCGAGCCGGUGGAUCGGUCGACGUAUCGAUAGAAGGCUUCGGGCCAUGGAUUCGGGCAUCGAGCCAAGAAGAGCCAAUAUUGCACCAAGGAUAUUGGAGUUGCGGAGUCAACUAGCUGAUUGGACAAUAGGCCACAAGAGAGGACAAUGCGCUGAAGAAUCAGAUAAAGCGUCGAGGGACCAAUGACAUGUCGGACAACAUGAUUAAUGCUUAGUAUUAAUUGUCUAGAUUGAAGUAUGUUUUACAUGUGCAGGGUUAACUACGAUAGCAAGGCAUGAAGCAAAAUAAAGUCCCGGAGUCAAGGACGCAAUUUCGUUGGGAGUUCGAGAGUUCGUCGGAAGUCUGAACGUUCGUUGGAAGUUCUAGCAGAACCAACCGAGAAGUCUUAGAGCUUGCCAGAGAAGCUCAUCGGAACUCACCAAGAAGAUCGUCGUGAAGUCCAGGAGCUUGCCGGGAGUCCGUCGGAACAUUGCCGAGAGAUCGUCGGAAGUUCGCCGGAAGAUUGCCGAAAAAAAUCAAGACAUAGGGACUUAUUUACCUUAGCAAAUGUCUAAAUAAUCGUAGUUAGCACGUAAUUGGAUUUAGAUUUAGGCCAGACCAAUUAGAGGCUAGCUAGGCUCAUGUAAGGACUGUGUUGGGCCCAAUGAGAGGCCCAAACUGUCACGCCCCUCAAAUAAUAUCGAUGAUUUUAAAAUUUUCAUCACAAACUAAUAUAGGAUCCAAACUAAAAAUUGAGGACACUGAAAAACAUUCUAUCAAAUUCAUAUCUAUAAAACCUGUGCAUUUUAUAAUCAUAUAUCACAUGACUCGAUAAUUCAUAUUUAUGGCAACCCAAGCCAAUUUAACAAACAUGAACAAUAUUUAUAAAUCCACAAGCUAUUGAAUUUAUACAAUCAUAACUCCAACCAUUUACCAUAAGUUCAUAUUAUCGUAAACUAGACUUAACAUUCCAAAAUUCCAAAUAAGAGAGAUCUUCUAAUACUUUUACACAGUAUAUCUAUUUCGAUUCAUCGAUAAUAUUUUAUUACAUAUAAAAUAUGCUUAUACAAUAAUAACAUAAUAACCAACAAGACUUGCCCAUAAUUCUGAAUAGCUCUUCAUUAUCUUAGCCCAAUUCAAAACAUCUCAAAGAGUGACAACUUGACCUGAAAGAUUUAUAUAACAACGGAGUGAGCUAAAAAUAGCUCAACAAGUGACAAAACAUAUUCAGAACAAAAGGAACGGUUUCAAACAAGUAAGAUAUCAUAAUGCAAGGAAGAAUACAAGAUUUCUCAAGGAUACCAUCUCAUUAGAUACAAAAUCAUAUGUGUUAUGUCAUUCAAAACAUAUUUGGUUCAUAAUAAAUGGAGCAUAGAGUAAUUGGAGCAUAUCAAUAUCGUACGAGAUGUUCCGGAGCAUAUCAAUGGCAAAUAGGACAUUUCAGAACAUAUCAGUUCAUAGCAAAUGGAGCACAGAGUAAUUGGAGCAUAUCAAUAGCGUACGAGAUGUUCCGGAGCUUAUCAAUGACAGAUGGAAUAUUUUGGAACAUAUCAAUGAUAUGUGAAGCAUUUUGAAGUAUAUCAAUGGCAUAGGAAACAUUUUGGAGCAUAUCAAUACAAAAUACGAAACAUAAGCUCAAACGUCGUACCCUAGCAUAGUGCAUGUGAGGUUUAACUCAGUGGUGGCUCCACGCCGUGAUGAGUUCUCGACUCCAUCCACGGGUAGCCCUUUCCUACUCGAGCCCUCUCACCCUGCCCAAGUGCUAGGUUGGCUCUGAAUUUCAUAUCAAACAGAUAGAUGGUGAAGUGGGAUUCUAAACAUAAUAUGGUCCAUCCAUUUCUGAAUGACCACCAAACAUAAUCUAGAGCAUCGCGGGCUCUAAGCACAUACCCUUGACCAUUUCUGGCAAAGGUCCAAAUAAUCCCACAAACACCAGAGUACAAAAGGUAUUGUGAACAAUAAAUUGGGAUAUAUCGGAAGCACAUGCGAAACAACGAAAUGUACAUGUGCCUUUAUGAGUCAAUACGAUGCAAACAUAAUCCUUCACAAAUGUAUUUAGAUUUGAAAGAAAUGAAAGCAAGAGCCUACAAUAUUCCAAGUAAUCACAUAUAGCUCAAUUCAAAUAAGAAGGUUAGAUGAAAUCAAUUUCCAAAAGAAUGAAACCUGAAUAUGCGAAAUCGACCAAAGCUCGAUUUCUAGCAGAAUUCAAGAGGCACAUUGAACAAAUGAUUCAAACUAUCAAUCGUGAUUCCAAUUUACUCAGAAAUAUAUUGUGGAAAGAUAUUUCAAUCUAUUUUCAGAUAAAAUAAGUCUUAUAUGAAUCGAAGUUUCCAACAAAGAGUUACAAUUGAUUUAGUAACCAAAGGUCAGAAAAUAAAAUUAUUAUUUUGCAUAAUCCAUAGGGUCGUAUUCAAUAGAUAACUGAGCAGACAUUUGGACUUUAAAUCUUUUAAUCCAGGUAUCAAAAGAAAGAUCUACAAGUCUAGUUUCCAAUGUAAUAAGAUUUGAAUAAAUCAAAGUUUUCAACAGGGACAUAUAGGCAUUUCAGUAUCAAAAGGUCAGAAUCUCAAA
rnacentral:lncRNA from 1 species